rnacentral:rRNA from 1 species
UACAGAGGUCCCGAGCGUUGUUCGGAUUUACUGGGCGUAAAGGGCGCGUAGGCGGCGUGGUAAGUCACUUGUGAAAUCUCUGAGCUUAACUCAGAACGGCCAAGUGAUACUGCUGUGCUAGAGUGCAGAAGGGGCAAUCGGAAUUCUUGGUGUAGCGGUGAAAUGCGUAGAUAUCAAGAGGAACACCUGAGGUGAAGACGGGUUGCUGGGCUGACACGUGACGCUGAGGCGCGAAAGCGUGGGGAGCAAACAGG